UCUCAAUAGUCAAAAGAAAUGGCAAUCAAAUUAGUUUUUCUUGUAGUUCUGAUUAUCUUUUCUUCUAUAGUUCAAACCCAAGUAGAAGCUACCUCAGUAGCAACUGAAGUUUUUCGAGUGAAGUGCAAUGGUGAUGAUAAGUGCUGCAAGCAAGGCUGCUGCAGUAAAUGCUGCAAAAUAAGCUCAAAUGGACAAUUUGGGAGAAAAUCCAAAUUCGUUUCAUAGUUUUUUUUUUUUUGGAGAGAGAGAUAGGUAUAUUACAAUUUGCUAUCCAUGCCUAAAAGCUUUUGUUUUCUUUCUGUUCUGUUCUUUUCUUCUUCUUUUUUUUGAGAGAGAGAUAGGUAUCAUGCUACUCGUUUCAGUUAUUUUAUUUAGAAAUAAGUUUUGCUUAAAAUAUGAAUCAACUAGUAUUCGAAUUUGGGGCCUCGGGUACCAACCGUCAUGCCCUUUACCACUUGCGUUAGAGAUCCCCAAAUGAUCCAUUUGGGCUCAUUUUGCAGCAUCUAGCACAGCAGCCUUUCUUGUAGCACUUAUCAUCAUCAUUGUGCUUCACUCGAGAAACUCUAGCUGCUACUGAGGUAAUUUUCACUUGUACUUGAACCAUAGAAGAAAAGAUAACAGGAUCACAAAAAAAGCUAAUUUGAUUGCCAUUUCUUUUGGCUAUUGAGACACUAGCAAGUGUUUUUUUGGUGGUUGUUUUCUUCCACCCUUGUGCUGCUUUUAUAGAGUGGGAGAUAGCUUUAUCAUUGUGUGGCACUUGGGUGUUUGUUGGAUUUUUCUACAUAGUAGUUUGAUUAUGUAUGUUGUGAUUAAGCUUUCAGAAAGUGUGUAUUGUAUACUGUCAUAGGCAGCUUAUGAGUAUGCAUUUUGAUAUAAAUUUAUCGAAAACAUAUUAUUGUAUCAGUGCUAAUAUCAUGUAUGCUGAUAUUACUCCCUCUUUGGAUACACAAAUGCCUUUUUGAAGGUCUCUGCAAGUUUCAUUGAGAGGAAUUAUAAUGAUCAUUGAGAGGAAUUAUAAUGACUCUAGCACAUUUUUAUUAACUUUUUAAUUAUUUUGUCUGAUUACUGUCAAAGACUCAACCCCA
rnacentral:lncRNA from 1 species